GGAGAAUUGUCUCACCCACAUUGAUGUGGGUAGAGGCAUUUGAAUUGAUUCUUCAGAGACUUGAAAAAUCAUCAAAAUUCGAUUUUGGGAAGAUUGCGGCUGUUUCAGGUAGUGGACAGCAGCAUGGUAGUGUGUUUUGGAAGAAAGAGAGUGCAGCGAUAUUGUCGUCCUUAGAUGCUAAGAGAUCGUUGUUAGAGCAGCUAAAUGAUGCUUUUUCGACUAAAGAAUCUCCGAUAUGGAUGGACAACAGCACAACAGAACAAUGCAAGGCGAUAGAGAAGGCUGUUGGAGGGGCAAUGGAGUUGUCUAGACUUACUGGUUCUCGCGCAUACGAGAGAUUUACUGGUCCGCAGAUCCGGAGAUUGUUUGAGACACAACCGGAGGUUUAUAAUAAUACUGAGAGGAUCUCCCUUGUUAGCUCCUUCAUGGCAUCUUUGCUUAUUGGGGGCUAUGCCAGCAUUGAUCACACGGAUGGUGCAGGGAUGAAUUUGAUGGACAUUAAGCAAAGAGCGUGGUCCGAAAUCAUUUUGAAGGCCACAGCUCCUGGUUUGGAGGAAAAACUUGGAAAAUUAGCUCCGGCACAUGCUGUUGCUGGAUCUAUUGCUGCCUAUUUUGUGGAGAGGUAUCACUUCAACAAAGACUGUUUGAUCAUUCAAUGGUCUGGAGACAAUCCCAACAGCUUGGCAGGGUUGACUUUAAAUACUCCAGGGGAUCUGGCGAUUAGCCUUGGCACUAGUGAUACAGUUUUCGGAAUAACAAAGGAUCAUAAUCCAAGCAUGGAAGGGCAUGUUUUCCCUAAUCCCGUCGAUACUGAAAGCUACAUGGUAAUGUUGUGCUAUAAAAAUGGAUCACUGGCUCGUGAAGAUAUACGCAACCAUUAUGCUGAAAAGUCUUGGGACGUUUUUAACAAAUAUUUGCAGCAAACUCCUCCUCUAAAUGGUGGUAGAUUAGGAUUUUACUAUAAGGAUUUUGAGAUACUGCCACCCCUCCCAGUUGGUUUCCACCGCUAUAUCCUUGAGAACUUCACUGGAGAUUCUCUUGAUGGAAUAAAAGAGCAGGAAGUGGGAGAGUUUGAUCCCCCUUCCGAGGUUCGAGCCAUCGUAGAGGGACAACUUCUUUCCAAGAGAGCUCAUGCUGAAAGAUUUGGAAUGCCUUCUCCUCCAAAGCGAAUAAUUGCCACUGGAGGUGCUUCUGCUAACAAUUCCAUUCUAAGCUUGAUAGCUUCCAUCUUUGGAUGUGAUGUUUACACAGUUCAACAGUCAGACUCGGCUUCCCUAGGUGCUGCUUUGAGGGCUGCUCAUGGUUGGUUAUGCAACAAGAAGGGCAGUUUUGUG
rnacentral:misc_RNA from 1 species